AGUGAACGCUGGCGGUAGGCCUAACACAUGCAAGUCGAACGGCAGCACAGUAAGAGCCUGCUCUUACGGGUGGCGAGUGGCGGACGGGUGAGGAAUACAUCGGAAUCUACUUUUUCGUGGGGGAUAACGUAGGGAAACUUACGCUAAUACCGCAUACGACCUACGGGUGAAAGCAGGGGAUCUUCGGACCUUGCGCGAUUGAAUGAGCCGAUGUCGGAUUAGCUAGUUGGCGGGGUAAAGGCCCACCAAGGCGACGAUCCGUAGCUGGUCUGAGAGGAUGAUCAGCCACACUGGAACUGAGACACGGUCCAGACUCCUACGGGAGGCAGCAGUGGGGAAUAUUGGACAAUGGGCACAAGCCUGAUCCAGCCAUACCGCGUGGGUGAAGAAGGCCUUCGGGUUGUAAAGCCCUUUUGUUGGGAAAGAAAAGCAGCAGGUUAAUACCCCGCUGUUCUGACGGUACCCAAAGAAUAAGCACCGGCUAACUUCGUG
rnacentral:rRNA from 1 species